UACAGAGGGUGCAAGCGUUAAUCGGAAUUACUGGGCGUAAAGCGUGCGUAGACGGUAGCGUAAGUCGGGUGUGAAAGCCCCGGGCUCAACCUGGGAAUUGCAUUCGAGACUGCUCUGCUAGGGUGCGGAAGAGGGAAGCGGAAUUUCCGGUGUAGCGGUGAAAUGCGUAGAUAUCAGGAGGAACACCAAUAGCGAAGGCAGCUCGCUGGGACGUUACUGACACUGAGGCGCGAAAGCGUGGGGAGCGAACAGG
rnacentral:rRNA from 1 species